rnacentral:rRNA from 1 species
CCUACGGGGGGCAGCAGUAGGGAAUCUUCCACAAUGGGCGAAAGCCUGAUGGAGCAACGCCGCGUGGGUGAAGAAGGUCUUCGGAUCGUAAAACCCUGUUGUUAGAGAAGUAAGUGCGUGAGAGUAACUGUUCACGUUUCGACGGUAUCUAACCAGAACGACACGGCGAACGACGUGCCAGAAGCCGCGGUAAGACGUAGGUGGCAAGCGUUAUCCGGAUUUAUUGGGCGAAAAGGGAACGCAGGCGGUCUGUUAAGUCAGCGGUAAAAGCCCGGGGGUCAACCCCGGCGAGCCGUUGAAAAUGGCGGGCUGGAGUUGGAGAGAAGUACGCGGAAUGCGCGGUGUAGCGGUGAAAUGCUUAGAUAUCGCGCAGAACCCCGAUUGCGAAGGCAGCGUACCGGCUCCACACUGACGCUGAGGCACGAAAGCGUGGGUAUCGAACAGGAUUAGAUACCCCAGUAGUC